GGAGAAUUAGCUCAGCUGGGAGAGCAUCUGCCUUACAAGCAAAGGGUCGGCGGUUCGAACCCGUCAUUCUCCACCA
rnacentral:tRNA from 1 species